AAAGACUCUGUUCAGAUAUCCUUCUUUAAUGAUAAGGCUGUACUGAGGUCAGUCUGGCAUUGACACGGGGUGUGGUUUAAACUGAGACUGCGCGAGAGCAGCAGGAGAAGUGGCUUUAUAUUGCAAUGGCAGACCGCAAAGUUUGCCGUCUCCGUAACUUUUAUAGAAACGGAGCGUAUUAAUCUUGCAGAAAUCUAUGCAACACGUUUAAUCGUCCCAUAAAGAGCCAGAGUCUGUGAUGAUCUACCGAAUGACAGCGGAUGGGUGUGAUUGACCAGUCAUUUGUUUGAUGUUUCUCCGUGAUGGUUAUAAGUGUGCGUCAUUGACGAUCGUAAGUUGAAAUGUGUUUAUAUUUAUUGUCAUAUGUUUCAAAUGAGUGAUAAUCACUGUAUAUCACAAUAACUAAAUGUUAAGUUGGUUGUCAUAUAAUAUAUAAGCAUAUUUGUAGAUUAUCAAAGUAAAUGCCAUCAUUACGUUUCUACCUGUGAUGAUGUAGCGAUUAUUUAUGCUAAACGGUUAGCACUGAAUGCACAUUUCUAACAUUUGCGAAGAUUAUCAUGGUAAUUGUAUUUAUUUGUUUUAUUGUAGAACCACACACACACACACAAACACAUACAUAACUUCACAUAGGUGCACGUGUACAUCAACUGGACACGUGUGUCAUCCUUCAUCGCCACGUGAGAAGACAUCAACGAACCAACGACAACGGAUCACUACCUCUUAUAUCAGAUAAGACAUUCGGACAUUUGGGACUGUUAAUAACUUUACUUAAGAAUUUAAUUCUGUGUUGAUACAUCGUCACAACUGCAAUUAUCUGUAUUAUUUACCUUCACUACUUCAACUGCUGUAUUUAACAAUUUAUUUAUGUAGGCCUACGUUCUUUAUUUGUAUAUUUAUUUGAGUAAUUGCAUUGUUAUGAGUGUUUAAUUAUUGUUACAAUUUCUAUUUGAUUAUUUAAUAGAAAUUCAGUUCAUUGAACAAAGUCUCUUGCUCUUCAUUUAUUCCUUGGGUCCUGGACGUUAAUUGUGAUUAAAAGAUCCUCUGAGGUGAUUGGCAUCGUAAUAGUAACUAGUGCAUUUCAGUUCCUUGCAAACAUUAAAUGGUCCUUCGAGCCGGAUGCUAUAACUGCUUCAGCUAUGACGUCCAGACCCAGGGAAAAGUUAGUAGAGCAAGAGGUGGUAAGGCCACGCAGGGUAAUUCGUCCGCCUUUGCAUCUGCAGGAUUAUGAGGUUAGCUAUCCUCAAAGGCACCUUACAUUUCCAGAUGAGCAGGUUAGUGUUGUAACAAAUGCUGAUGUUCUCUCAUGUAUUCGUGAAAUGAGAGAAGAAAGCAGGCAGCUCAGACAAGAUGUUCAGCGCAUUUCAGACAUAAUUGCCACUUCUCCUGGGUUAGCUCCGCCGCAGGUCUCAUCUCCAUCACAUGGUAUGGACUAUAGGGUGUCAUCAACACCAAUAGCUGCUAGUAUGUUGGCUCCACAACAGGAUGAUCGAAAACCAAGCCAAGCAGAAAAUACUCCAGUGCUGCCCCCUAGAGAUGAGUCCUUACACAAACGUGGAGAUGGCCACCAAGACCUCAUAGCAGAUCUUACUCACAGCUUAAAGACAAUGGGCAAACUAAGCAGUAGUCAGUCACAUUCAGGACAGUCAACUCCUCAGUAUACAGAACCGCCUCAGUGUGAUAAUGACUCGUCGCAAUACUUACCCAGUCAUGCUGCUAAUGUUCACGAAUCGAGACAAUCUCAAUAUGAUCGUCAUUGGUGUCAGUCUGAUAAUCCAAAGUUGCAGCGGCCCAAUCCAUCAUCCUACCCUGCAUGGGAUUCUCAACAUUCUCUAAAUAAUGCUAAGGUUGGUCAUCCAUAUUCAGAAUUCCAAUCUGCUAAUGAUACUUAUGAUCCAUACAGUGGCGACAGAGGGCGCACUUUGCAGAGGACUUCAUUAUUCGAUUCAAGACCUUACUUUCAGCAUAAUAGGAGACAUGAGAGCUAUUGUGACAAUGAACGGUUUCACUUAUCUGAUGCAUCAUUUCCUCCUUUGGAAGAACGUGGUCUUGAUCGUGGCUUGUUCCUUUCACCAGUGCAGUACCGUGGGCCCACUCCUACUAUCCCUGACUUUGUUCAUGAUGACCCGCGUGAAUUCACCAGACUUAAGAUUGCUUUAGACAAUGUACUGCCUAAUAACGCUACUGAAUCUUUCAAGUUUCAAAUCUUAAUGGACCAUCUUAAGUUAGAGGAUGCUCUACUUGUUGCUGAUUCUUACAGUCAUAGUAGUUAUCCCUUUAGUGACACUAUGAGAGCACUUACUGACAUGUAUGGGCAGCCACAUCAGUUAGCGUUGCAACGGAUUAGCCAAUUGAUGGAUGGACCCAAUAUAAAAAGUGGUGAUGUCAAAGCUUUCAAAGCCUUCGCCCUCAGAGUCAGAGCAUUAGUCGGGAUGUUGAAUCAGUUAGGAAGCCCAGGCUGGACGGAGCUAAAGUGUGGUUCACAUGUAUCUCGCCUCUUAGCUAAGUUACCUUAUGACCUAAGAGCCAACUUCAAGAGAUUUGUUAAUCCCCUUCAGAAUCCCGUUCCUACUCUGAUUGAUUUGGCAGAUUGGCUUGAAUAUGAGGUCCGUGUGCAGGUGGAAGGAACGCAGUAUGGCACAUACCAUGAACCUGACAAGCAAGCUUUCCGCAAAGACAAAAGGGUUGGAUUCAUGCAACGAAAACAGACCACUGUCCUGCAUGGAGGAGAACAGACAUGUUUGUCCAUCGAAAAUGUGAAAACGACAUCAGUGUCUACAGAUAAGAAACCAGAAAAGCCUAAAAAGUACUGCCCAUUCUGCGAUUCUAUUCAGCACUAUAUGAAUCAGUGUUCUAACUUUAAGCUGUUGACAAAAGAGCAAAUUGAGAACUGGAUCAAGACUGGUAACAGAUGCUGGAGAUGUGGCAGAGGUCAUCAUUCCUCAAAGUGUACUUUGAAAGCAAAAUGCAAAAAGUGUGAAAGGAGACAUCUUGAGGUUCUUCAUGAUGUAAAUGCCAGCUCUGAUUCAAAAUGGAAGGACAGAAGUAAAGAGUCAGAAGGGAACACAAUCCCACUCACUUCCACUUCCCAGACUUUAUACUUGGAUCGGCCUACAAGUGGUAGACAGGUAUUGCUCAAAUUAAGUCGGGUUGUACUUUGGAAUGGUGAUAAAUCACUAGAGACCUAUGCAGUGCUGGAUGACGGCUCCGAACGGACAAUUCUGCUGCAUGAUGCUGCUCAACGUUUAGGUCUGCAAGGAAAACCUGAAGACUUAGCCCUUCGUACUGUCAGACAGGAAGUCCAUACCAUACAAGGACAUUCAGUGUCAUUUUCUAUAUCGCCAGUCUCAUUACCUGACAGAGCAUUUCAAAUUCAUGGAGCAUUUACUGCUAAAGAGCUGGGUCUUGUUCAACACACAUAUCCCAUCACUUACUUACAAGAAAAGUACCACCACUUAAGAAAUUUGCCUCUGCCUGAUAUCACUCAAGCCCAACCAUUGGUGCUCAUUGGCUCGGACUAUCCUCAUCUGAUUACACCUGUAGAACCUGUGAGAUUAGGCCCGCCAGGUGGGCCAGCAGCUGUACAUACACGUCUUGGGUGGACAUUACAGGGUCCAUCAAGAUUCCUUCAGUCUGUGUUGCAGCCACAGGAAUGUCUUUUUGUAUCUUGCUCAUCUCCAGAGACUGAACUUUUUAAUCAAGUUGAAAGGCUUUGGAAACUGGACAUUGUACCUUAUCAGUCUGAGAAGGUUGUCACUCGUUCACGACAAGACACAGAAGCAAUUCGUAUCUUGCAAGAGAAGACAAUCAGGAUGGAUAUAGAAGGGGUCCAAAGAUACGCUACUCCACUACUAUGGAAGGAAUCUCUCCCACCAUUGAAUGCACCAAAGGAAGCUGUGUUAGCCCUCCUCCACAGCACAGAAAGACGCCUAAUGAGGGAGCCUCAGAGGGCAAUAAGUUACAACGCUGAGAUUCAGAAGCUAAUACAGGCAGGCUAUAUUACCCCGCUCACUACAAACCAGUGUGACCUGAGUCUUCAUUCGUGGUACAUACCACAUCAUAUGGUUAAUCAUAACGGCAAAGACCGCAUUGUGUUUAAUUGUUCCUUUGAGUUCCAAGGCCAGUCUCUAAAUGAGCACCUCAUGCCCGGGCCUACUCUAGGAGCAAGUUUGUUGGGAGUUCUACUGCGCUUCAGGGAACACCCUGUAGCGAUCUGCAGUGAUAUACGCGGAAUGUUUCAUCAAGUCCGCCUCCUUGAUGAAGACAAACCAUACCUCAGAUUCUUGUGGCGCAAUGAAAAAACAAUGGAACCUGCCACAGUCUAUCAAUGGGAGGUUCUUCCGUUUGGGACCACUUGUAGCCCCUGCUGUGCUACAUUUGCCCUUCAGUCACACGUAAAGAAUUACCUUGAGCCUACAGAUGAGGUGAGAAAAACAGUGGAGCGUGGAUUCUAUGUAGACAACUGUUUACAAAGUGUGCCAACUGAAGAACAGGCUGAGAAACUAGUUCACAGAUUGCAGGAUCAUCUAUCAAAGGGUGGAUUUGAGCUGAGGCAGUGGGCAAGCAAUGUCCCUACAGUUAUUCAACACCUUCCAGCUGAGCUAAGAUCAGAUAGCAGUGAGAUCUGGCUUAGUCAAGGGACAGACAAUCCUCAAGAAAGGACCCUUGGCCUACUAUGGCAAUGCAAACUGGAUACGUUAGCAUAUAAGCCCCACCAAGGUGAAGAUGGUGAAAUCACAAUGCGGACAAUCUACCGUACUCUGGCAAAACAGUAUGAUCCCCUUGGGUUUCUUAUCCCCUAUACCACAAGGGCUAAGAUCAUUGUCCAAAUGUUGUGGGAUAAAAAACGAAGUUGGGAUGACCCUUGCCUUCCUGCUCAUUUACUGGAUGCAUGGCGUCAGUGGGAAAGUGAACUGCCUGCACUAGCCAAGAUAUCACAGCCCAGAUGCUAUAGUUCAUGCCUUCAGUCCACUGUUAAAUGUCGCAACCUACACAUAUUCUGUGAUGCUUCUGAAAAGGCAUAUGGCUCAGUGGCGUAUCUGACAACAGAAGAUGAUCAGAGCAAUAUUCAGGUAUCCUUCCUAGCUGCAAGAUCCAGAGUUGCACCCAAGAAGCAGCUCUCCAUAGCACGAUUGGAGCUCUGUGCAGCAUUGACAGGAGCACAGCUAGGUUCGGUGUUGCAAAAAGAGCUGACCUUGGAAAUUCACAACUGUGUGUUCUGGACUGAUUCAACCACAGUUCUUGCCUGGCUCCAAUCUGACUCUUGCCGGUACAAAGUAUUUGUGGGAGUCCGAAUUACUGAAAUUCAAGAGCUGUCUGACCCCAAAACAUGGCGUUAUGUUAACUCAUCAUCUAAUCCUGCUGAUGACAUAACAAGAGGUCUAACAUUGGAUCAGUUGGCUGGAAAUACUUCUUGGAACAAAGGUCCAGACUUUUUGCUGUAUCCUAGUUCUUACUGGCCAAAGACACCAGAAUGCCUAAACACUGAAGACAUUCAAGAGCUUAAGAAAUCUGCAUUUUGUGGGGUAGUGAAUGAGACUAAAGGAACUGUAAUACCAGAUGCCCUCCAAUUUCAAAGUUAUCAAGAACUUCUGGAAGCCACAGUGCAGUCCCUGAAUGGGGCGGCCGCCAAUAAAGGACCGCCUGAUGCAGAUGACUUUAGUGAGGCAGAAUUAACUGUUUUGAGACACUGUCAGAUGCAAGACUUCCCUGAAGAGUAUGCUUUGCUUAAGGAAGGGAAGAAUGUGCCUAAUCGCAGCAGAUUAAUGAAACUCACUCCCGAAUAUGACAACAACUCUGCAUUGAUUAGAGUAGGAGGAAGGCUUCGUAGAUGUGACAGUCUAAACGAUGAAUUUUUGCAUCCUAUAGUCCUGUCUCCAAGUCACCCAGUCUCAAAGCUCCUCAUUAAGCACUAUGACAACAAAUUGCACCAUCCAGGGGCUGGCCGUGUAUAUGCAGAAUUACGACGAAAGUUCUGGAUCCUACGCGGAAGAGAGGCGAUUAAGAAGUACCAACAUGAAUGUUUUGAGUGUAACAAGUGGCGAGGGAAAGCAGCAGUUCCUAGAAUGGCAGACCUCCCUCCAUCAAGUCUCAGAUUGUUUCGACCCCCUUUCUAUUCCACAGGAGUGGAUUGUUUCGGGCCCUUAGUCAUCAAAAUAGGGCGCCGUACGGAGAAAAGAUGGGGCAUUAUAUAUAAAUGUUUGACGACCCGAGCAGUACACCUUGACUUACUCGAUCACAUGGACACUGACUCAUUUUUGAUGUCUCUUAGGCGUUUUAUCGCCCGUAGAGGGAAGCCUUAUGAGCUUCUCUCAGACCAGGGAACAAAUUUUAAAGGAGGACAUACCGAGCUGGAAGAGACUUUUCACCAAAUUCAGCCUACUAUCAAAGACCAGCUAGCCAAAGAACAGAUCAGGUUCCGCUUCAAUCCACCCAGCGCACCACACUUUGGCGGCUCAUGGGAAAGAGAAGUAAGGUCAGUGAAAACAUCACUAAGGACAACACUUGGAGCUCAAGUUGUCACAGAAGAAGUCCUAAGAACCAUCUUGCUUGAGGUUGAAAGUAUUUUAAACUCAAGACCUUUGGGUUAUGUCUCCAGUGAUGUAGGUGACCCAGAUCCUGUGACCCCAAAUUCUUUACUCAUGGGGCGGCCAGAUUCUUCACUGCCACAGGUAGUUUACCCUGAUUCUGAUCUUCUCAGUCGAAAAAGAUGGAGACACAGUCAGAUACUAAGUGACCACUUCUGGAAGCAUUUUAUUCAUGAUUUCCUGCCUACUUUACAAGCACGUCAGAAAUGGAACCAAGACAAAGAAAAUAUUACAGUUGGAACUGUCGUUCUCAUUGCUGAUGAACAAAUGCCAAGAGCCCUCUGGAGAGUAGGCACUGUUACAUCUGUCAUUCCUGGUUCUGAUGGUAGAGUCAGAAGUGCUUCAAUUAAAGUGAAAGACCAUACUUACACCCGACCUAUUGCACGAUUAAUAAGACUACCCGCCUUACCUCCAGACACUGAUGACUCACAAUAAACUUAAUACUGGCAAAUUUGUUACCACAAAUUUGGGGGCGGCUGUAAAAAAGACUCUGUUCAGAUAUCCUUCUUUAAUGAUAAGGCUGUACUGAGGUCAGUCUGGCAUUGACACGGGGUGUGGUUUAAACUGAGACUGCGCGAGAGCAGCAGGAGAAGUGGCUUUAUAUUGCAAUGGCAGACCGCAAAGUUUGCCGUCUCCGUAACUUUUAUAGAAACGGAGCGUAUUAAUCUUGCAGAAAUCUAUGCAACACGUUUAAUCGUCCCAUAAAGAGCCAGAGUCUGUGAUGAUCUACCGAAUGACAGCGGAUGGGUGUGAUUGACCAGUCAUUUGUUUGAUGUUUCUCCGUGAUGGUUAUAAGUGUGCGUCAUUGACGAUCAACCACACACACACACACAAACACAUACAUAACUUCACAUAGGUGCACGUGUACAUCAACUGGACACGUGUGUCAUCCUUCAUCGCCACGUGAGAAGACAUCAACGAACCAACGACAACGGAUCACUACCUCUUAUAUCAGAUAAGACAUUCGGACAUUUGGGACUGUUAAUAACUUUACUUAAGAAUUUAAUUCUGUGUUGAUACAUCGUCACAACUGCAAUUAUCUGUAUUAUUUACCUUCACUACUUCAACUGCUGUAUUUAACAAUUUAUUUAUGUAGGCCUACGUUCUUUAUUUGUAUAUUUAUUUGAGUAAUUGCAUUGUUAUGAGUGUUUAAUUAUUGUUACAAUUUCUAUUUGAUUAUUUAAUAGAAAUUCAGUUCAUUGAACAAAGUCUCUUGCUCUUCAUUUAUUCCUUGGGUCCUGGACGUUAAUUGUGAUUAAAAGAUCCUCUGAGGUGAUUGGCAUCGUAAUAGUAACUAGUGCAUUUCAGUUCCUUGC